GUGUUACUUCGGUAUCACAUCUACUAAAAUUGGAACGAUACAGAGAAGAUUAGCAUG
ensembl:snRNA U6 U6 spliceosomal RNA